rnacentral:lncRNA from 1 species
UGGGGAUUCAGACUGAUUAUUAAUUGUGCCGUUAUUUCCUGUAUUCCUGAGAGAGAAACAGACUGAAUUCUUCAUCUCACCACCGCGUCUCUGUACUUAGUGCAGACUAACGUUAUGUAGAAGUAGAGGAGCAAGCAAUUCCACGUAUUGCCAAAAUUCCCUACACUGUCAUUCUUUAAAAAAAAACCUCCACUGUCACA